AAAUCAUGAUGAAGACACCUCCUCAAAAGCUCUUUAAAUUGCUCUCAUGCCUCAAACAAGGAUUUCGCUUCAUAUUGUUGAAAGCAACAUAUCUUUGUCAUAAGCUU